CUCUUUUUUUGCAGGCUCGGGUGGAAACUCGGUUUUCGGAGACUCGGGUGGAAACUCGGUUUUCGGAGACUCAGUUUUCUUCAGAGAUGGUUGCGCAGAGCUUUCGUUAGCGGUAGUCUUGAAAAUUGAAGCGCCUGGAAAAGUAAAAGUAGGCUACAGACCACCCAAAAAAUAGAAAAGGAAUACCAAGGUUAAUUCAAGGAUAUGAGAUUAGCUGAUAUGUGAGAUCUACAAAGUCAUGAAGAAUCUCAGUAUCUGCGUAACAUUAGCAAUAUCUCUGGCUGCCAAAAUCAAAACAAAUAGAUGAAACAUGAAAAAAAGGAAAAUCCG
rnacentral:lncRNA from 1 species